rnacentral:rRNA from 1 species
AGUGAACGCUGGCGGUAGGCCUAACACAUGCAAGUCGAACGGCAGCACAGUAAGAGCUUGCUCUUACGGGUGGCGAGUGGCGGACGGGUGAGGAAUACAUCGGAAUCUACUUUUUCGUGGGGGAUAACGUAGGGAAACUUACGCUAAUACCGCAUACGACCUACGGGUGAAAGCAGGGGAUCUUCGGACCUUGCGCGAUUGAAUGAGCCGAUGUCGGAUUAGCUAGUUGGCGGGGUAAAGGCCCACCAAGGCGACGAUCCGUAGCUGGUCUGAGAGGAUGGUCAGCCACACUAGAACUGAGACACGGUCCAGACUCCUACGGGAGGCAGCAGUCGGGAAUAUUGGACAAUGGGCGCAAGCCUGAUCCAGCCAGACCGCGUGGGUGAAGAAGGCCUUCGGGUUGUAAAGACCUUUUGUUGGGAAAGAAAAGCAGCAGGUUAAUACCCCGCUGUUCUGACGGUACCCAAAGAAUAAGCACCGGCUAACUUCGUG